AUGAAAGAGAAAGUGACAUUUUCUAGAACUCAGCACUUCCUUAUUUCAUUUGCAAGCAUGGUUUUAAAGGCUGAAGUUGGCCCUGGUGAAGGUCAGAGAUCAUACAUGGUUUCUAUAGUGACAGAAGCUGCCGCAAGUCCGGGCAAUAAAAGGACAACAAUCAUCAACACAGAAGACUUCUGCAACCAAAUGUGUGGGGAUCUCCCACCACACACAUACACACCAAGCAGUGGGCACCAGCUGGGUGUCCUCCAAUUCAGUUCCAACACUAUCUACCUGGAAAGAGUGUCUGAUCCUACAGGUGGAGGGCUCAGUCAGAUGAAGAGAUGCAUUAGGCGCGGUCUAGAAGGAUCCUGAGCGCAGGAGCUUUUGUCCUCACAGAGUAAGUUCUUCUUCCCCUUCCUGUCUGCCUCCACGUGUUCAGCUCUCCAGAAACCCCCUGAACCCUGUUCUCUGGGCCUUUUAUGGAAAAUUCUUUGGUUUUCCAUGACUGAAGCAUGUAAUUGAACAAAAUGUGAUUGCACAAAAAGGACGUGAUCUAAUCCCAGCAAGGUGUGUCUGUACAGAUUCUUCAUCUCUCUGCAGCAUUCCUUCCUCCAGGGUAUGGGGCAUGACUUCCUCUGGAAUGAGGAUCUUAUGAUCCAUAAACAGAUUAUAGAAUCCUGCCUUGGGUGGAUGAAAGGAGGGCAAAAGAAGGUCAGAGAGAGAGAUUCUGUUUCCUGAGUGCUAAACUACCUCUAUGUUACAACAAAAGACUGUAACAAGUGUCAUGGGAAGUAUGAACCAGGAACCAUGGACAAAAACCUAUACAUAUGUAAUCAUAAGAUCACACCCCCCCACCACACACCACAUUGUUCUACAUAGAAAUGCCUUCACUAUACAGCUUUCAUUCAUUCAUUCAUCCAUUCAUCCAUUCAUUCAUUCACUCAUUCAAUGAGUAAUGUUGAAUUCCAAACCAGGAACUGUGCUACAUGUUGGGGAUGACAUGGCCCCUAGCCUCAAGAGCCUUCUCUUCCAUGGUUGAUGGUGGGUAUUGAUGACAGAUGGUCAGUCAGCAGUAACUAUAAUGAAUGUUAGGAUAAAGAGAAGCCCAGAAGGCUCCUUGGUGUUCCAACUGCUCAUAGGAUAAGCUGCUUGUCUUGUUCACUCCUGUAUCUCCAAUGCCCAUGAUCAUACCUGACACAAGAAGUGCACAGUGUUUACUGAAUUCAAUAAGGAUCUGACUGAUGCUGAGUGCCAACCCUCCCGCUCAGUGGCUCCUCCCCCUUGGCCCUAAACCUGAUACCUGGAUGAAAACACAUAAGGAUACGUGACAAUUCUUCAAGUAGGUCACAGAAUGUUCCAGCUGAGAGGAAACUGACAUAGCUUUUUACAUCAUCACUGCCAUCCCCUCCAUCAUGUCCCCACGGUGGGGGUGGUUAAUGAACUACUUGGACCUUCAUGCUUUCCUAAUUUCACCUUAUCCUGGAUGCUCUUCUAAGAACACUGAAGUUGGUCAAUAUUCCUAUUAAAACGUAGGAAUCUGAACCUUGAUCCAGAAUUCCUGAUUGAGAUGUCACCUCAGUUUCCAUGUGCAUCCUCAGAGGCUCUACCCUGGCUCACCCUGGAGAGUAGGCGGCAAGAAGUCUGAUGUUACUCAGAUUUCUCUCCUGUGCCGAAAACACCUGCCUGCUAGAAUUAGAACGUGUAUUAGUCCAUUCUCGCGUUGCUAUAAAGAAGUGCCUGAGACUGGGUAAUUUAUAAGAAAAGAAGUUUAAUUGUCUCAUGAUUCCGCAGGCUGAACAGGAAGCAUGGGAGCACCUGCAUCUGGGGAGGCCUCAGGAAACUUUUAAUCCUGGAGGAAGGAAAAGCAGGAGCAGGAACGUCUCACGUAGUGGGAGCAGGAGGAAGAGGAGGGCGGGAGAGAUGCUGCACACUUUUAAACAACCAGAUCUCAUGAUAACUCACUAUCAUGAAAACAUCCCUGAGGGGAUGGUGCUAAACCAUUUAUGAAGGACCACACCCAUGAUCCAAUCACCUUCUUUCAGGCUCAACCUCCGACACUGGGAAUCACAAUUCUACCUGCGAUUUGGGUGGGAACGUAGAUCCAACCCACAUCGGAAUGCAAAUCUUUGGGGAGUAGAUGGUUAUAGAGCUCCUACUAUUAAGUCAAAAGGUUCUUGCUCUCUGAUCUUUCUACUGGUCUCCCCCAGAUGCUGAAACAGUGAGGCCCCUCUGCUAGAGGAAGUCCUUUCUCUAUAACUGCCCCAAGCAGCUCAUGGCCGGGAGCCACCUCUUCCUUGAGAUAUGGGGCUAUGGUAACAGCAAUCCUGGCUUCUGGUUGGGUCUACCAAAUAGGAACCCUCCAUAAAGAGUGGUUUUUUUUCUUAAGCAAUGUCACACCUGAGGUUAUUAACUUGGGUUAAGAAGAUGGCUAUCUACAUUAGCUUCCCACAGGCCCUGGGGUCCCAGAGAAGCAGAGCUAUUCUAGGAGAAGCUGAGAAAGAUCAUGAGUUAAGAAGUUCUCUGAGGAAGCUCAAAAGUGACUCUGCAUUUGGGUAACAAUGGCCCUCAAGGCAGAGCAGGUAUCUGGGCAACAUAAAAGUUGUGAGGAGUAAAUGGGAGGGAUGGGACAACAUGCUUUCCUAGGGCUAGGUAAGCGUCCAACCCUGGCCCAGCUCUCCAAGCCCUCCGCCAGAAAGCACCUCUGCAUGUUCUUGGGACAUGCUCAAAGCCUCCCAACUGAAUAGCAACAGAAUGGCUUUAGAACCAGGUUUCCUGAUUCCUGGGGUUGUUUUUAUUCUCAUCACUCUGCCACUUUCUGGGUCUGGAUCUCAUGGGAGCAUUCUUGGCUUGUCAAAUUCUGGAACUCUCCCUUCAAGGAUGAGUCCUGUUUGCCAGGCAGGCCUGGGCUUUUCUGGUUCUGAUGAGUGGAUUUUUUUUUUUUUUUUUUUUUUUUUUUUUGCCUUCCAGUGCCAACUGUCUCCCUGCCCCUAUCAAUUCCCUUGCUGGGAAAGGUCAUCUGGGGUCUUCAGUGGCCCCGUGGAGCCUCAUGGCCAUGGGGAGGAGUAAUGGGCAGCCUGGGGUUGGGCCUACGACCAGACCUCCCAUGGACAGCCGGCACGUGCCUUAGAAUCUGGGCAUGCUGAGCUUUUUCUUCAAACAGGGCAGUGUGGGGGCAGAAGCGGGUGGAAUCCGGAGACUUCUCGCCAUAAGAAUUCCUGCUCUCCUCCUCAGUCUAACCCUUGCUUUGCCCAUCUGGGCCACGGCAGUGCCCACAGGCAGAGCAGUGGGAAGAGGAGGAGAGGGUUUGCUCAGCUGGCGGGUCUCUGGGAGCGCGAGCCCUGCCAGCCCCUCCUCCGCGGGCUGUCUCCACUGGCUCUUCUCCCGCUUCUGCCCGCCUGUCCCUCUGGGCUGCUCGGGCGCCACCGCUACUGUCCUCAACCCGCCCCGCCAGCU
rnacentral:lncRNA from 1 species